rnacentral:rRNA from 1 species
UGGGGAAUAUUGGACAAUGGGGGCAACCCUGAUCCAGCAAUGCCGCGUGUGUGAAGAAGGCCUUCGGGUUGUAAAGCUCUUUCGGCAGGAACGAAACGGUGAGGGCUAAUAUCUCUUACUAAUGACGGUACCUGAAGAAGAAGCACCGGCUAACUACGUGCCAGCAGCCGCGGUAAUACGGAGGAUGCAAGCGUUAUCCGGAUUCAUUGGGUUUAAAGGGUGCGCAGGCGGAUUGGUAAGUCAGGGGUGAAAUCCCACAGCUCAACUGUGGAACUGCCUUUGAUACUGUCAGUCUAGAGUAUAGUUGAAGUUGGCGGAAUGUGUCAUGUAGCGGUGAAAUGCUUAGAUAUGACACAGAACACCGAUCGCGAAGGCAGCUAGCUAAGCUAUAACUGACGCUCAUGCACGAAAGCGUGGGGAUCAAACA